AGUGAAUAGAUACCCUGGUAGUCCUAGCCGUAAACGAUACUCGCUAGGUGUCGGCCACGGUGCGACCGUUGUCGGUGCCGUAGGGAAAGCCGUGAAGCGAGCCACCUGGGAAGUACGGCCGCAAGGCUGAAACUUAAAGGAAUUGGCGGGGGAGCACCACAACGGGUGGAGCUUGCGGUUUAAAUUGGAUUCAACGCCGGAAAUCUUACCGGGACCGACAGCAAUAUGAAGGCCAGGCUGAAGACUUUGCCGGAUUAGCUGAGAGGUGGUGCAUGGCCGUCGUCAGUUCGUACUGUGAAGCAUCCUGUUAAGUCAGGCAACGAGCGAGACCCACGCCCACAGUUGCCAGCGUACUCUCUGGAGUGACGGGUACACUGUGGGGACCGCCGCUGCUAAAGCGGAGGAAGGAAUGGGCAACGGUAGGUCAGUAUGCCCCGAAUAUCCCGGGCUACACGCGAGCUACAAUGGUUGGUACAAUGGGUAUCUACCCCGAAAGGGGAUGGAAAUCUCCUAAAGCCAAUCUUAGUUCGGAUUGAGGGCUGCAACUCG
rnacentral:rRNA from 1 species